rnacentral:rRNA from 1 species
CUGAUGCAGCGACGCCGCGUGAGGGAUGACGGCCUUCGGGUUGUAAACCUCUUUCAGCAGGGAAGAAGCGAAAGUGACGGUACCUGCAGAAGAAGCGCCGGCUAACUACGUGCCAGCAGCCGCGGUAAUACGUAGGGCGCAAGCGUUGUCCGGAAUUAUUGGGCGUAAAGAGCUCGUAGGCGGCUUGUCACGUCGGUUGUGAAAGCCCGGGGCUUAACCCCGGGUCUGCAGUCGAUACGGGCAGGCUAGAGUUCGGUAGGGGAGAUCGGAAUUCCUGGUGUAGCGGUGAAAUGCGCAGAUAUCAGGAGGAACACCGGUGGCGAAGGCGGAUCUCUGGGCCGAUACUGACGCUGAGGAGCGAAAGCGUGGGGAGCGAACAGGAUUAGAUACCCUGGUAGUCCACGCCGUAAACGGUGGGCACUAGGUGUGGGCAACAUUCCACGUUGUCCGUGCCGCAGCUAACGCAUUAAGUGCCCCGCCUGG